rnacentral:rRNA from 1 species
GCGAUACAGGGUGACAGCCCCGUACACAAAAAUGCACAUGCUGUGAGCUCGAUGAGUAGGGCGGGACACGUGGUAUCCUGUCUGAAUAUGGGGGGACCAUCCUCCAAGGCUAAAUACUCCUGACUGACCGAUAGUGAACCAGUACCGUGAGGGAAAGGCGAAAAGAACCCCGGCGAGGGGAGUGAAAAAGAACCUGAAACCGUGUACGUACAAGCAGUGGGAGCACGCUUAGGCGUGUGACUGCGUACCUUUUGUAUAAUGGGUCAGCGACUUAUAUUCUGUAGCAAGGUUAACCGAAUAGGGGAGCCGAAGGGAAACCGAGUCUUAACUGGGCGUUAAGUUGCAGGGUAUAGACCCGAAACCCGGUGAUCUAGCCAUGGGCAGGUUGAAGGUUGGGUAACACUAACUGGAGGACCGAACCGACUAAUGUUGAAAAAUUAGCGGAUGACUUGUGGCUGGGGGUGAAAGGCCAAUCAAACCGGGAGAUAGCUGGUUCUCCCCGAAAGCUAUUUAGGUAGCGCCUCGUGAAUUCAUCUCCGGGGGUAGAGCACUGUUUCGGCAAGGGGGUCAUCCCGACUUACCAACCCGAUGCAAACUGCGAAUACCGGAGAAUGUUAUCACGGGAGACACACGGCGGGUGCUAACGUCCGUCGUGAAGAGGGAAACAACCCAGACCGCCAGCUAAGGUCCCAAAGUCAUGGUUAAGUGGGAAACGAUGUGGGAAGGCCCAGACAGCCAGGAUGUUGGCUUAGAAGCAGCCAUCAUUUAAAGAAAGCGUAAUAGCUCACUGGUCGAGUCGGCCUGCGCGGAAGAUGUAACGGGGCUAAACCAUGCACCGAAGCUGCGGCAGCGACACUAUGUGUUGUUGGGUAGGGGAGCGUUCUGUAAGCCUGUGAAGGUGUACUGUGAGGUAUGCUGGAGGUAUCAGAAGUGCGAAUGCUGACAUAAGUAACGAUAAAGCGGGUGAAAAGCCCGCUCGCCGGAAGACCAAGGGUUCCUGUCCAACGUUAAUCGGGGCAGGGUGAGUCGACCCCUAAGGCGAGGCCGAAAGGCGUAGUCGAUGGGAAACAGGUUAAUAUUCCUGUACUUGGUGUUACUGCGAAGGGGGGACGGAGAAGGCUAUGUUGGCCGGGCGACGGUUGUCCCGGUUUAAGCGUGUAGGCUGGUUUUCCAGGCAAAUCCGGAAAAUCAAGGCUGAGGCGUGAUGACGAGGCACUACGGUGCUGAAGCAACAAAUGCCCUGCUUCCAGGAAAAGCCUCUAAGCAUCAGGUAACAUCAAAUCGUACCCCAAACCGACACAGGUGGUCAGGUAGAGAAUACCAAGGCGCUUGAGAGAACUCGGGUGAAGGAACUAGGCAAAAUGGUGCCGUAACUUCGGGAGAAGGCACGCUGAUAUGUAGGUGAAGUCCCUCGCGGAUGGAGCUGAAAUCAGUCGAAGAUACCAGCUGGCUGCAACUGUUUAUUAAAAACACAGCACUGUGCAAACACGAAAGUGGACGUAUACGGUGUGACGCCUGCCCGGUGCCGGAAGGUUAAUUGAUGGGGUCAGCGCAAGCGAAGCUCUUGAUCGAAGCCCCGGUAAACGGCGGCCGUAACUAUAACGGUCCUAAGGUAGCGAAAUUCCUUGUCGGGUAAGUUCCGACCUGCACGAAUGGCGUAAUGAUGGCCAGGCUGUCUCCACCCGAGACUCAGUGAAAUUGAACUCGCUGUGAAGAUGCAGUGUACCCGCGGCAAGACGGAAAGACCCCGUGAACCUUUACUAUAGCUUGACACUGAACAUUGAGCCUUGAUGUGUAGGAUAGGUGGGAGGCUUUGAAGUGUGGACGCCAGUCUGCAUGGAGCCGACCUUGAAAUACCACCCUUUAAUGUUUGAUGUUCUAACGUUGACCCGUGAUCCGGGUUGCGGACAGUGUCUGGUGGGUAGUUUGACUGGGGCGGUCUCCUCCUAAAGAGUAACGGAGGAGCACGAAGGUUGGCUAAUCCUGGUCGGACAUCAGGAGGUUAGUGCAAUGGCAUAAGCCAGCUUGACUGCGAGCGUGACGGCGCGAGCAGGUGCGAAAGCAGGUCAUAGUGAUCCGGUGGUUCUGAAUGGAAGGGCCAUCGCUCAACGGAUAAAAGGUACUCCGGGGAUAACAGGCUGAUACCGCCCAAGAGUUCAUAUCGACGGCGGUGUUUGGCACCUCGAUGUCGGCUCAUCACAUCCUGGGGCUGAAGUAGGUCCCAAGGGUAUGGCUGUUCGCCAUUUAAAGUGGUACGCGAGCUGGGUUUAGAACGUCGUGAGACAGUUCGGUCCCUAUCUGCCGUGGGCGCUGGAGAA